rnacentral:rRNA from 1 species
UACGGAGGGAGCUAGCGUUGUUCGGAAUUACUGGGCGUAAAGCGUACGUAGGCGGUUAUUCAAGUCAGAGGUGAAAGCCCGGGGCUCAACCCCGGAACUGCCUUUGAAACUAGAUAGCUAGAGUCUUGGAGAGGUUAGUGGAAUUCCGAGUGUAGAGGUGAAAUUCGUAGAUAUUCGGAAGAACACCAGUGGCGAAGGCGACUAACUGGACAAGUACUGACGCUGAGGCACGAAAGCGUGGGGAGCAAACAGG